rfam:Bacillus sp. VT-16-64 NODE_41, whole genome shotgun sequence.
UUUGCCUUUAAACCGGUCCCGUGAGGCUGGCAAGGUAUCCGAUCAACCGUAUAUAAACGGUAGAUUUUCCAUGCAAAAUACCCAGCACCUUGCCCACUAUCGGACAAGGUGCUUUUUUU